rnacentral:rRNA from 1 species
UACGGAGGGAGCUAGCGUUGUUCGGAAUUACUGGGCGUAAAGCGCGCGUAGGCGGCUUUGUAAGUUAGAGGUGAAAGCCCGGGCUCAACCCGGAACUUGCCUUUAAGACUGCAUCGCUUGAAUCCGGGAGAGGUGAGUGGAAUUCCGAGUGUAGAGGUGAAAUUCGUAGAUAUUCGGAAGAACACCAGUGGCGAAGGCGGCUCACUGGACCGGCAUUGACGCUGAGGUGCGAAAGCGUGGGGAGCAAACAGG